UAACGUGAUCACCAUCCUAGUACUGAACAGGCCGACCAUAAAAGACAACAUCUUCUCUGUCUAUUUAAGCAGCUUGUGCUAUUUUAACAUCAUCACUCUCCUGGCCCAUUCUCCACGCUUCAUUACCCAGGCCUGGAUCCAAAGAGAACUGUAUUUCACUAACGACCACUUCUGUGUAUUAUACCGGCUUUUCUCACUGAGUGCUGUUACCAUAGCAACUUGGCUCUUGCUAGUCAUAACGGCUGCACGGCUGUUUUUUAUUACAGAGAGG
rnacentral:sRNA from 1 species